UCAGAAGAAUGCAACUUAGAAGACUUACGUUCGCUGGUAGGUAAAGGUUUUCUUUCUUGCUCAUGACUCCUUUUUGAGAAUGUUUCUUGCUCAGGACUCUUUUUCGAGAACGUUUCUUGCUCAGGACUCUUGCUGCCAGCCUCCAUUGUUUCUUGCUCAUGACUCUUGCUGUCCUUUGCUUUCUUGACUUCCCGCUUUUCCAGUUCUGGAGUACUAGGAGUUUGUUUUGAUCCUAAAAUAGAUUUCUGCUUUGGAGGUUCAGGUGAGGCUAGGUUGACAGCGUCCUUG
rnacentral:misc_RNA from 1 species